AAGCAGACACCUAACAGGCUGAGCCACCCAGGAGUCCCCACACUGUGGUCUUGAAAUGCAAUUUCUUACAAAAAUAAACCAGGGCUUUUUGGAGAAAUGGUCGAUUCCGGGUCUGCAGCAGGAAAUAGACAAGAUGAGCCCAGAACACCCAGGCCCCCCAGAGAGCAAGAAAGCGGCCGCAGACCAGGGUCAUGUCGAAAGGUCUCCGGGUCCAGCUUGCAGACGUGUCCACUGGCCAGAGAUGGCCAAGUUCAGCUGGAAAAAGAUAGUACUUGAAAUGAUGGGGACUUUUAGCUACAUCCACAUCCAUGUGUCCAUGGUGAGUAAACAAAGAUCCUGACCGGUCACGUGUGUGGGGUGAGAGCAGGUCGGUCCGUUACCCCUACACUGACAAUGAAAAAGAAAGUCUCCAGUAUUUCCGAAGGGCGCAGGUGGACCAUCUUGUCCAGCAGCGGUAACUCGAGAUGACACCGGGAGACAAAGGGAAGCCAUUUCCGGAGAGGGUGGAGUUUGCUUCCGUUCAGGUACCGCCUAAAUGCACAACCGGCCAAAACUAUGGGAAGGUGUUGGGAGUGAGCAUCCCAUCCUACAGAAGAGGAAACUGAGGCACAGACAGGGUAAGGAGAGCCUGGUGCAGAGCUGGUAAGUGGCAGAAGCCAUGUCCAGACCCACGUCCCUCCCCUGGUUGAGAACCACCUAUUUCUGCCAAGUGCACUUAGGAUAAACUCAGCCUCCCAGCCCCAACAAGGAAGACCUUGCCUCAUCUGGCCCUGCCCUGUUUCUGCCUCCUCUCCUGUCCCAUUCUUCCCACUCAGGGAGCUCUCCAGCCACACUGGACAUGACACACGGGCCUGUCGGGGGCUCUGCCUCAGCGGUGUCUCCUCCCACGGUCCACUCCCUGGACCGUUGCUAGUCUGCCCCUUUCGUCAUUAGGCUCUGUCUCCUGUGGUUCCUUCUCCCCGCAUCCUGGCCUCUAAUGCAGACUGAAAUGAUUCCACUGGUAUACUGGUUUUAUGCUUGGCCUCCACCUGGUGGAGCACAGGGUCUGAGAGAGGAGGCUGUGCCUUUCUUGUGGGUGCUGGCUCCAUAAGCCCCUGUCGGGACCUGGCAGAGAGGGGGCUUGGCGGACAUAGCCCGGGGGCCGGUGGUGAGUGAGUGAGUGUCCGCCUCCACGCCAGCUUCUCCAGCACUCCGUCGCCCUGAACGGUGCCAGCUCGCCUCCACUCACCUGUGCCCUCGCCUUCAGACAGAGUGGAGGUGGAGACACCAAGGCCUUGAGCUGCCCAGGGUGGCGUAGCUGGCUGGUGGUGCCAGGAUCAACACAAUGCCCUCGGGGCUAUCCACGUCCACCUCCCCGAUGAGAAAAGCAGUCCCUGGAUGCGAGGGACUGGCCUGGGGUUCCCUGGCUCCUGAGUGCAAAGCCGGGGCUAGAACCUUGUCCCUUCCAGGGUUCCUGGGCCCUCCGAGGGCU